CGUACGGGGUGAGUAACACGUGGGUAAUCUACCUCUUAUGGGGAAUAACCCUGGGAAACCGGGGCUAAUAACCGCAUAAGCCUGAGAAGGGAAAGCAGCAAUGCGCUGAGAGAGGAGCCCGCGGCCGAUUAGCUAGUUGGUGAGGUAAUGGCUCACCAAGGCGGUGAUCGGUAGCCGGCCUGAGAGGGCACACGGCCACACUGGCACUGAAACACGGGCCAG
rnacentral:rRNA from 1 species